UGCUUGGCCGUAAACUUCACUCACACCUUAUAACGCCAGGGAAUUACGAGCCAUGCUUAAAACCCAAAGGACUUGGCGGUGCCCCACCCAACUAGAGGAGCCUGUUCUAUAAUUGAUAAUCCCCGCUUCACCUCACCACUACUAGCCCAUCAGCCUGUAUACCUCCGUCGCAAGCUCACCACGUAAGCGCCAAACAGUCGGCUCAAUGAACCCCCUUACACACGUCAGGUCAAGGUGCAGCCAAUGUAGUGGGAAGCAAUGGGCUACAAUUUCUAUCUUAGAAUAAACGAAAAGCCGCAUGAAAAUGCUGCUUGAAGGCGGAUUUAGUAGUAAGAAGAAAAUAUAGAGUUCUUCUUAACUAGGCCCUGGGUCGCGU
rnacentral:rRNA from 1 species